rnacentral:rRNA from 1 species
GUCUCAAAGCUUAAGCCAUGCAGUGUAAGUUCACGCCACGCUUCAGAACGGGCGAAACCGCGAAUGGCUCAGGAACCGGACCUAAUCCUCGGGACCGUAAUCCUCCUCGGAGGCGAUGGAUAACUGUGGCAAUUCUAGAGCUAAUACAUGUGACACAGGCCGCGAUCGGCCGUCGCGUCGUGGUCGCCUCGCCUCGCGCGCUGGCACCCGCGGCGGCCGUCUUGGGUCGCGGCGCUACAUAUUAGACUGAGACCGAUGCGCGAUUCCCGUCCUCCCUUCGUGGCUUGCUGCGUGGGGAUCAAGGUCGGCGCGCUCCGCUUUGGUGACUCUGGAUAACUCACUGGUCGAUCGCACGGGCUUCACGCCCGGCGACGGGUCCCUCGAGGGUCCGCCCUAUCAACUGUCGACGGUCGGUUAAGUGCCUACCGUGGUUACUACGGGUAACGGGGAAUCGGGGUUCGAUUCCGGAGAGGGAGCAUGCGAAACGGCUACCACAUCCAAGGAAGGCAGCAGGCGCGCAAAUUACCCACUCCCGGCACGGGGAGGUAGUGACGAAAAAUAACGACGCGGGACUCUGUCGAGGCCCCGCGAUCGGAAUGAGUACACUUCAAAUCCGUUAACGAGGACCAACCGGAGGGCAAGUCUGGUGCCAGCAGCCGCGGUAAUUCCAGCUCCGGUAGCGUAUAUUAAAGUUGUUGCGGUUAAAAAGCUCGUAGUCCGAAUUCGGGUUCGUGGUCGCUCACGCGGCCCCGGGGCGGCGGCGCCAUCGUCCAUCGUUGACUUUGGUCGUCCGUUCGCAUUCCCGGCCCUUUCCGCCGGUGUCGAUCGCUGCAAGGCUGCGUCUGUUUCGGGGKGGGGKUUKGGUUNGYUYUGGGCUUUCGCCGUCGGUGAUCUCUCCUCCAAGGGUGCUCUUAACCGAGUGUCCGCGGCGGCCGGUACGUUCACUUUGAAAAAAUUAGAGUGCUCAGAGCGGGCUGUUCAAGCUUGCAUACGAUAAGCAUGGAAUGAUGGAAGAGGGCCUCGUCUACGUCUGUCGGUCUCCGUCUACGGCGAGGCAAUGAUCGAAGGGAGCGGUCGGGGCCACUCGUAUUGCGACGUUAGAGGUGAAAUUCUUGGAUCGUCGCAAGACGAACUGCAGCGAUGGCGUGUGGCAAGCACGUUUUCCUCGAUCAAGAGCGAAAGUCGGAGGUUCGAAGACGAUCAGAUACCGUCGUAGUUCCGACCGUAAACGAUGCCGACUGGCGAUCCGCCGGCGUUCGCUUCCAUGACCCGGCGGGUAGCCUGCGGGAAACCAGAGUUCGGUUCCGGGGGGAGUAUGGUUGCAAAGCUGAAACUUAAAGGAAUUGACGGAAGGGCACCACCAGGAGUGGAGCCUGCGGCUUAAUUUGACUCAACACGGGAAAACUCACCCGGUCCGGACACCGGUAGGAUUGACAGAUCGAUAGCUCUUUCUCGAUUCGGUGGGUGGUGGUGCAUGGCCGUUCUUAGUUGGUGGAGCGAUCCGUCUGGUUGAUUCCGAUAACGAACGAGACUCCGGCCUGCUAACUAGUGCGCCGAUGUAAGUGCGGCCUACUUGUAGGUCGUGUGCGGUUGCGUUGCCGUCGGUUUCGAUUUUUGAUCGUGCUGGCGGUCGCGUCCGGGUCGGUUUCUCACGCACUUCUUAGAGGGACGGGUGGCAGAAAGCCACACGAGGCGGAGCGAUAACAGGUCUGUGAUGCCCUUAGAUGUCCGGGGCCGCACGCGCGCUACACUGGAGGUAUCAGCGGGGACUUCGCCCCGGCCCGAGAGGGUCGGGAAACCUCUCAACCACCUCCCGUGAUAGGGAUCGGGGCCUGUAACCAACCCCGUGAACGAGGAAUUCCCGGUAGGCGCGGGUCAACAGCCCGCGUCGAUCACGUCCCUGCCCUUUGUACACACCGCCCGUCGCUACUACCGAUCGAACGGUCCGGUGAGGUCCUCGGAUCUGGCCGACGACGCCGCCGGGCGUGUGCCUUCGGGUGCCGCCUCGGCGUUCGAUGCCUGGAGAAGACGACCGAACCCGAUCGUUUAAAGGAAGUAA